rnacentral:rRNA from 1 species
GACGAACGCUGGCGGCGUGCCUAACACAUGCAAGUUGAGCGACGAACCAGGGCUUGCCCUGGGGCAAAGCAGCGAACGGGUGAGUAACACGUGGGUAACCUGCCCCGAUAACCGGGACAACCCGAGGAAACUCGGGCUAAUACCGGAUGUGCUCACUGGACUUCGGUUCAGUGCGUAAAGGAAGCUUCGGCCUCCGUAUCGGGAGGGGCCCGCGGCCCAUUAGUUUGUUGGUGAGGUAACGGCUCACCAAGACCGCGAUGGGUAGCUGGUCUGAGAGGACGAUCAGCCACACUGGGACUGAGACACGGCCCAGACUCCUACGGGAGGCAGCAGUGGGGAAUCUUGCGCAAUGCGCGAAAGCGUGACGCAGCAACGCCGCGUGGGGGAAGAAGGCCUUCGGGUUGUAAACCCCUUUCAGGAGGGACGAAGGUUCGGCGGUGAAUAGCCGUCCGGACUGACGGUACCUCCACAAGAAGCCCCGGCUAACUACGUG